CCCUUAGAUGUUCUGGGCUGCACGCGCGCUACACUGAAGCUAUCAACACGUUUUCCCUCCCUGAGAAGGGCGGGUAACCUUUUGAAUCAGCUUCGUGGUAGGGAUCGGGGCUUGCAAUUGUUCCCCGUGAACCAGGAAUUCCUAGUAGACGCGAGUCAUAAGCUCGCAUCGAUUAAGGCCCUGCCCUUUGUACACACCGCCCGUCGCUACUACCGAUUGAACGUUUUAGUGAGGCAUUUGGACCGACGCAUCUCAGUUUAACCGCUGGUUUGUGUUGGAAAGACUUCCAAACUUGAGCGUUUAGAGGAAGUAAAAGUCGUAACA
rnacentral:rRNA from 1 species